UCAGACCCAUGCCUAAGCUUCCCAACCACCAAUUUAUGUACCACGUGGCACUAUAUCUCUCUGGUUUUUUCAUCACAAUCCACAUGAAGCAAGGAUAAGCUAAGGUUACAGGCAAUGCAACCGCUCCAGUCAGGGCAGCCAAAUCUGAUAAGAAUGGGAAUGCCACUGCUAUAAGAAAGGAAACUGCUCCAAAGAAGGCUCGAAACCCAGACCGAAGCCAACGAGGGCAGGGCCUGUUCUUCUUGCUGGUAUAUCCUGCCUCCAUAUUGUCGAAGACUGGCAUAGCAUAGAUUUGGUAGGAGCUCAGGCAAUUGAUGACCACGAGCAAACUUGUCAAUCCCAGCACUGCCCUGGACGUGUCCUUGCCAUGGAAUUCAUACAGAGCAUUCAAAAUGCCACUUGAAGGUUCCCAUAAGCCCAGAAACCACCAAUUGCAAGGGGGUACAAGCACAAUGCUACGAUCAAGUAUGCUGAUUUCACGCCUCUCCACAUGGGUACAUGGGAAGGAUGCUUCAGAGUUGAUGGCAUGGUCGCCUGCAUGCAUAAACAAGCUUAUCUAUAUGAACUACAGAGAGCAUGAACAAUGGUGAAUAGGCGUGGAGAAAUUAUAGGAUUUGAUCACCUGAAUCUCCAAGACAACGUUGUGCCCUCUGAAGGCAAAAGCAAUGAUUCCAAGAGCAUUGAGGAUGUCAAGCACUCUAUCAAUGCCUGACUUGUUUACAGGAUCAUAAGAGACUCCUGGUUGUCGGCCCUUGCUCACAGACACGACCCAUAUCAGUGUGCAAUAGGAGACAGCUGUGGCUGCACCAAUAAGAGAGACCCCAGCAAUGGAGUUGAGAUUGGGGAGUUGCGCAAUGAUCACUGCAAGGCAUAUGAAAACCAGGUACCACUCAAUGGUUGUCAGUGGAUUGGAGUUGCAUGUUGACCCACAAACAUCGUUGAAGAAGAGCUUCAUGCUGCCUCCGCCUACGAUAAUUAUGGCAGAGCAAAUGCCAGCUGAGAGGUACAUGGUGGGGAAUAAGGCUAGAAUUUUGCCCCACUUUGAACCUGAAGAUAUGAACCAUUAUGAUCGAUAAAUUUAGCCUAUGUUGGAUUCUGUAAAUUAUGAGUUGAAACUCAAGGCUUACCGAAGGCGGCUUUAGAGAGCUGCAGGUAUCGGCAAUAACGGGUUCCAGGGACUGAUUCAUGUAGUUGAACGAGUAACCAAAGAGUGUAUAGCUGCCAGAUGAAUGCUCCAGACAAGCAAAGAAUCCCCCAUGUCCUGCGAAACAGGAUAGAAAUGAUGAUAUAAUUCAGCUCACCAGGUGUUUAAAAACUGGGAUGAACAACCUGAGUCCGGCCUCAUUGAGAACUUCAAAGAUUGAAAGUUGGUGAGGUUUCUGAUCAAUUAGCAUCAAGCUAGUUGUCACAUUUUGCUACCCAAAUAACCUACUGGACUUUAUUUCAAUUCAAUAAUGCAGAUCUGUUAAAUGUUAAAUGUUUGAUCUGGACUUCAUUUAUGGCUUCUUAAUUGUUGGUACGAGCACGGAUAUGGCCAGACCAAAUUCUUGUGUGGCUUGGGCAGCUCAUUACUUCUUGUUUAUAUCAAGUGUUGGGGCUCGUGGUGUUGCAUUUAUUUGAUCAAAUGGUAUCUACUUGUUUGAAGUGUUA